rnacentral:rRNA from 1 species
AUUGAACGCUGGCGGCAUGCUUUACACAUGCAAGUCGAACGGUAACAGGUUAAGCUGACGAGUGGCGAACGGGUGAGUAAUGCAUCGGAACGUGCCCAGUCGUGGGGGAUAACGCAGCGAAAGCUGUGCUAAUACCGCAUACGAUCUAUGGAUGAAAGCGGGGGACCGUAAGGCCUCGCGCGAUUAGAGCGGCCGAUAUCUGAUUAGCUUGUUGGUGGGGUAAAAGCCCACCAAGGCGACGAUCAGUAGCUGGUCUGAGAGGACGAUCAGCCACACUGGGACUGAGACACGGCCCAGACUCCUACGGGAGGCAGCAGUGGGGAAUUUUGGACAAUGGGCGCAAGCCUGAUCCAGCAAUGCCGCGUGCAGGAAGAAGGCCUUCGGGUUGUAAACUGCUUUUGUACGGAACGAAAAGGUCCGGGUUAAUACCCUGGGCUCAUGACGGUACCGUAAGAAUAAGCACCGGCUAACUACGUG